rnacentral:rRNA from 1 species
UACGGAGGGUGCGAGCGUUGUCCGGAAUCAUUGGGCGUAAAGGGCGCGUAGGUGGCGCGGUAAGCGUGCGGUGAAAGCCUGGGGCUCAACCCCGGGUCGGCCGUGCGAACUGCUGGGCUUGAGCACUGUAGAGGCAGGCGGAAUUCCGGGUGUAGCGGUGGAAUGCGUAGAGAUCCGGAAGAACACCGGUGGCGAAGGCGGCCUGCUGGGGCAGUUGCUGACACUGAGGCGCGACAGCGUGGGGGAGCAAACAGG